CCCAUUAAGCCCGAAACAUAGAGCUCGCGAUCGAAGCCCGGUGGUAUCUCGCCGGAAAGUUUAUUGUGCGAUAUAUUGAACUUAUUAAGCGUCAGUUUAGUCAGCUCCGUUGGGAUCUCGCCGGAAAGCGAGUUCCCUGAGAGGUCCAAGUACAUCAGCACCGGCAAGUCGCCCAAUUGAACCGGUAUGCUCCCAGUGAGCCGGUUGUUCGAAAGGUUCAACUCCGCCAAAUGGGCCCAUGGCCCUACUGAACUCGGAAUCGGGCCGGUGAGCAAAUUGCCUUGCAUCUUGAGCUUCUGCAAACUGCCCAAAUUGGUGAUACACGUCGGGAGUCCACCGCCAAACCGGUUGUUGCUCACAUCAACAACGGUGAGGUUCGAGAGCUGGCAAAUCUCCGCCGGAAUAUCACCAGAGAAGCUGUUGCCGGCGAUCAGAAGUGACGUCACGCCCUUGGGCCCUGAAAUCGACCGCGAAAUCGCUCCUUCAAACUUAUUGUAGCUCAUGUCAAGGUGCGAGAGUCCCUGGAGGCCCCAAAACCCGGCCGGCACUUCGCCGGAGAGUCCGUUGUUGCUGAUUCGGACAUAUCCGAGAGAAUCACAACUCGCUAGCGAACUCGGCAGGCUUCCUGUGAAGCGAUUGUUGAAGGCGAUAACUCUCUGGAGCUUGCCUCUGGAACAGAGAUUCUCAGGCAACUCGCCGGUGAAAGAGUUGGUGGAGACGUCGAACUCCACCAAGUCGGAAUUCUUGCCCAAAUCGGCUGGUAAUUUCCCGGUGAAAGAGUUGUUGAAGAGCUUCAGCUGCUGCAAAUUUGGGUUCGACGCCAGAACCGCGGGAAUCUCGCCUUUGAAUAAGUUGUCAUUUAGGUUCAGGGACGUGAACGGAUAUGCAGCGAUCUUCUCCGGCAGGACACCGGUGAGACCGUUCUGAGAGACGUCCAAUUGCAUGAGAUUGCUCAAAUUGCUGAUCCCCUCUGGCAACUCGCCCGAUAAGUUGUUGUGGUACAGUUCAAUUUGCUCGACGCUUCGCAGCCCGGCGAUGGCAUCAGGAAUUUUCCCCGACAGCAUAUUGUAGGACAAAUCGAAGUUCUUCAGAGAAGUGAGCUUCCCGAUUGAGCUCGGGAUUUCUCCGACGAGAUUCGAUUUCGCUACCCAGAGAAUCUCGAGCCUGGACAGGUUUCCGAUCUCCGGAGGCAGAGGGCCCUGCGCGUACGGGUUGUAACCGAUAUUGAGCUGAGUCAACUGGCUAAGAUUACCCAAGAAGGAAGGUAUCGAGCCGUUGAGCAAGUUCGAGUACAGCGAGAGGACACUCAGCGCCGGCAACCGGCCGAAGCUAGCCGGAAACUCGCCGGUGAAGUUGUUGUACGAUAGGUCGAGGAACCGGAGGUCGGCGAACCCGGGCGAGAGGUCCGGCAGCUGGCCGACGAAGUAGUUGCUGGAGAUGUUGAGCCACUGGAGAUGCGAGCAGAGCGAGAGCGACGGCCCCGCGACGGUGCCGUUGAAGGAGUUGUCGCCGAGCGAGAGUUUCCGCAGGGUCCGGAUCCGGCAGAAGUCGUACGGGAACCUGCCGGCGACGUUCAGUUCCGAGAGGUCGAUCGCGACGACAGAGCGGUUCCGGGUCUCGCACGUGACCCCGGUCCAGUUGCAGGGGCUACGGUCGGCGGUGGGGGCCCAGUCGUCGAGCUGGCCGUCCGGGUCCUCGAGCUGGGCGGCCUUGACGCGGAGCAAGAUCUCGUAGUCGCCGCCGGCGGCGAGGGCCAGAGGCAACAAGAACAAGCAGCAGCAGCAGCACAGCAGGGACCAAGAACGGAGCACGAGCCACAGGGCAGACGCGAGCUCGCCGCGACGGCGAUGGGCGGUCGCCAUUUCUUUCCCAGGAAACCGCGGACGGGAAGGUCUAAGUUGCAGUCUAGUGCUCACGCACGACUAGACCGUCACAUGCAUGGCGCGACGGCGGCGGUGGCGGAGCGGCUGCGGCUUGAAGGAGAAGGUGGUGGCGUUCACAUGGAAAGAUCCACGCGCAUGAGGAUAUGAUAAUGCGCGUGGAAAGAGAGGGGAAAGAGAGGAGAUCUUCGUUGCCUAGCGACGGCAAUAAUGGUGGGAGACCAUGAUUGCAGGGGCUUGGGGGAAAAAUUGUAUUGAUUGGAUUCUUCUCUUUUUUAACUUUAGGGGGUGGGAAGGAGCUUGGAAGUGACGAAGUGUCUUUGCGUAGGAUUGAGGGUUUUUAUAAAGCCGCCCCACCUUGAUUUAAAGAACAUCGCCUCGGAAAGCGAUGUUAGUGGUCGAAUUAACUCUAGUUUAACAAAUUUGGUCUCCGGUUGUCAGGGAAAAAGAAAAGGAAUAAUACCCAAAAAAUUCCAAGUCGAUACAUUUAUAACAAAUUUUAUCUUAAAUUAACCUUAAACUGAUAUAUCUAUAAUAAAAUUACACUUCGUAAGUUUUCGUUAAAUUUUACUAUCAAAUUGAUAAGUUAAGUGACACGUAACAAUUAACAAGUGCAGCAAUUUAAGGUUUCACCUUUAAUUUGAUCAGUUUGUGGUACCAAUGUAAUUUAGUGAAAACUAACGAAAGAUAAAAUUGGUCAUAAAUGUAAUAGUUUAGAAUUUUAGUGGUCAAAAAAUUACUUUUGAAUAAAUUUAUCAUAGAUGAACCAGUUUUUGGAUUUUUUUUAAAUAAUAUUAGAAUAAAUUUGUUAUAAAUAUACCACUUUGGAAUUUUUUGUUAUAUUAAGCCAAAAAAUAAUGAAGUGUUUGGGUUCAUUUAUUUCAUAAAAAAAAAAAUGGUUGAAAAACAAUUUUCUAAAAUGAAUAAUAUUUUCAUUUUUAUUCAUUUUUUUUAUAAAUGAUAUAAAUGAUCAUAUUUAAGAAAACAUUUUCAAAAUUAAUCAUUAAUCGUAAAACAAACGAAGCCCUUAUAUUAUAAUAUUUUCUUUUGUGACAUUCGUGUCUCAUCGAUAUUGGCUCAAUCUUGGGUCACCAUCGGUGGGACUUUUUUAUUAAGUACUUUGGUUUUAUCUAUUGCCAGAACACUUCAUAUUCUCAAAAAUAUAUAAAAAUCGACGAAUAGAUCUAUGUGUGUAUUUUUAUAAUUUUUUUUCAAACCCUGGGAAUAAAUGAAAGUUAAUUUCCAAAAGCAUAUUCAAUCUCUACUUCUAGAAAAUUAUUUCGUGAUUCAGCUUGAUUGCCCUUAAAAAUGGUAAAUUGAGUUGGAGAAAGUAAAGUUCAUGCAUAAUAUGUCGCUAAAGGAAGUGUGUGACUUUUUGUUGUACCGAAAUUAGAACGAACUGGAUUUCGAUGUAUCAAUUCGGAUUACCUAUGAUUGCUCGUCACUGGGAUGAUAGUUUAUGCAUUUAAUAUUAAUAUGGUGAGCUGAACUACAAUUACAUGAAAGCUUUUUUUCUAUCAAAUCUUUGCAAAAGUUACAUAAAAUUAUUCUAAGUCCUGGAACAUCUACCGUUAAAAUUUAUAAUAAUAAUAAUAAUAAUAAUAAUAAUAAUAAUAAUAAUAAUAAUAAUAAUAAUAAUAAAUCAUGAGAGAAUUUUAAGUGAAUUUACAUGUCAAUAUUUAAAUGUAACGAAAACUUUAGAUGUUUUUGAAUAAAGAAGGUCAAAGUGCAUGGCAUCUCAUAAUUAAAUUCAAUAAAAAGUAAAAAGUAAAAGUGAAUUCAGACGCGUUCAAAUGCAUUUAGAUGGUCAUUGCAACACACAUUGACAUCGUUAUUUUUGUAAUGAAAGAUAAUGUUAGGGUACAUUUGUACUAAAUUUGAAGGUUGGAAGCUAAGUGGGGAAAAAAAGUGAAAAAGCAUUGCCCCUCACGGGUUGGAAACGUGUUGUAAAUUUAAAUUAUCCUUUGAUUACAUUUACAUGUCAUGUUAUUAGAGUCAAACAGUUUUCAAAUACGAGCUCGAAUUGAUUAAAUAUGUAACUCUUCAUGCAUGGCUCCUCUACAACUUUAUUUUAAUUUUCUAUUAGUCGUUGACAUUAAAACUCUGGUUAGUAUAAAUCUACGUCAAGGAAAUAUCAAAUUAAGAUGAUCCUCACCCACCAUCUUCAAUCUAAUCUUGAACAUUCUAAUCUAUAUUCAAAAAGGAAAAAAAAAAUUAUGUAAUUAUCUUUUGCCAGAUUACAUAUUUUGUAUAAAGUAUUGCUAGGAUUUGGCGCACAUUCUAAAGAAAUGGAGAGGAAAAAGCAAGAAAGAGAAUUGAAGACAUAAAAUUUUACCCACUUUUAAAUUAGGGUUAUGUCUAGUAGAGUAUUCCAUUAUAAUUAAUACCGCACAUCUCUGCGUUACAUCCCUUAAUCACAAAACGAGAGAGAGAGAUGCCCCCGCGACCCCUACCAAGGCCCCUCAAUCCCCAACAAGUGGCGUUAUACAUAUACUGAAACUAACGCACAAAACUAAUAUAUUAAGAAGCACUUCUAGAGAAUACGAGCUGAGAUUUCCAAUUGGAUAAUACAGAGAAUGUCAUAUUACUUUCUUUCUCGAUUUUGAUAAAUUGUUUUUAAUUUAUUUGUCUUGAUUUUUCAAUAUAGGUCUUAUUUAAUCAUGAAAUCCAUAGUAGGAAAUAAAUUAUGUAUUUUAUUCCUUAAAUAAGUGUUUGAUAAGUAUUUUGUCUUAUUCAGUAAUAAAAAAUUUUACUAAUUAGAAGUGGAAAUUCUUUGGGUGCCUGAUAUGAUUGAUGACUCGAUUUUUGCUUCCACAGGCAGCAAACUGCUGGCACCCACCUUUACAGGAGUUGAUAAUCUUUUGACGCUUCCGAGGACAACUAGUUAGCGAAAAUGACCCAAAGAUGGGAAAGGACAGGUUCCUUCUCUAGAGGGCAUGAAUAUUAUGGAAAUUUUCUUUUUUGGCCAUCAGAUACUCCGCUAGAUUUUGCUUUUUUGGCUCGGUAAGCUGGACAGACUCGAUGAAACCUUGCUGGCCAAGUUACAGCCAAAAGCGAAGAAUAACUUAUUAAAGGCAUUCCAAACAUUCAUACAUAGAAUCAGUGAGGGUCAAUUCGGUUUUAGUCAUUUUGAUAAGAUGCUCCACCAUCUACAGAAUGCACACGAAGCAAAUCAUUCUCUUCUUAUUGAAUAAAGUUCAUUAUCACUUGGAUGAAGCUUCACUUAACAGGAAAGUAUGCAAAGAAUAAUGAAGCUUCUACUAUCCUUGUCUCCAACUACAAGGAGGGGUCCCCUUCUAUCCGAAUAAUAGGAUUCGUAUAGUUUGUUGUUGUAACAUAUUCAUUGUGUCAUUUCUAAUACUACUUGUCCUUUUUAUUUGGACCAACGAUCCCGACAACAAAUCAACAAGUUGGAUCUGAGUCCCUCCUACGAAACCUUUUGGUGGGACUUUGGAAAGUGAUGCGUUCAUCAGCUUAAACAUGCAUUAAUCCUGUGUGUGUUGAUACUUCAUUAAUAAAUAUGACCUAUCCUCGGAAGAUGUAACUCAAAUACAUAGUAAUAAUCAUGUGACUAUGCUGCUUGCUCUAGUAAAGUUAUGAAAUAUAUGAACUUUGGGGCAAAACCCUAAUAUAUAUUUAUACUUGUUGAAAUGAAACAUUGAACUUAGUUCAAUAAUAUUAGCCUCUAAUCUAAGGUUGUUGGCCCCAAGGGCAAGGACAACUGUAAGUGUUUUUUUUUUUAUGUGAACUAUAUUAAAUUGAUAUUAUACUUUACCAUUUUACGGAAUUGAUCUGAUAAUGUGAGAUAUAAGGUUUCUUAAUUAAUCUAAUAUGGAGUUAGUUAGUGUGAGCGGAGUUGAGGCCAGCCCUUGAUAAGAGAGCCGAUGGUUUAAAACUUUAUAAAUAGUGCCCAAAUUUCUCCUAUAACCUUGACGCACAAAUAUCCCCACAUAAUGAGCAUUUAUUGGAUGCUAAGGGUGAGGAGCAAUCUCAUUGAAUGAAUUUCAAUCAAAAAAGAAAAUCUCAUUGAAUGAAUGACACAUAGGGCAAUAAAUGAGAGGUUCUUGAGUUUGGAUCAUCGCUAUUAAGUAUAAAAAACAAUGGAUUCCAAAUCAUGUGCACAAAUCUAUUUAGUUGAUUAUAUAUGUAUUUUUUAUUCUAACUAUAGAAAUCUUGGGGUGUGCUUUCACAGUUUACAUAACUGUCGAUGCUUGGAUCCCUAGUAGCCAUACCCAAUAACCCAGCUAUCAUGCCCAAGUCACUAGUAUUUAGGCUUGAGUCCACAAAGAUUGAAUAUGAGAUUUCGGUGUUUUGCUCAAGUCCCCAGUGGCCAUGCGCAAGUUACUAACUCCUUUGCCGAAGUCAUCAACCCUUAGAGCCAUGACUAUGGAGGCUAGACUCAGCUCCUCGAUAGCUGAGAUCCUAGUGUCUAUGCCUGGGUUCUCUACAGCCAUACAGGGACUCAACUCGUAUGUCCAAGAAACUGGGGCCCAAGCCCAAGUCCAUAGAGGCUGAGCUCGAGUCCCUCAUGGUUUUGCAUGAGACCCUAGUGCCCAUGCCCGACUCUCUAACGGCCAUGUCAAGAGCUCGACAGUUCUAUUUGAGUCCCCAAUGGCUAUGAUUGGAAUCUUAGUUUAUGUGCUUAAGUCCCCAAAGACCAUGCUAAGGAACCCGACUAUUGUGCUCAAAUGAAGGCUCAAGUCUCUCUAGGCUAGACUAGGUUCGGGUACCCAUGCCUUGAUCCAUCAGGGCAUGCCUGCAUUCCCAACUCCCACAUCCAAGUCAUUAAUGUCUAGCCCCGUUUUCUUGGCAAACAAGCCUACGUCCACAAAGGUUUGGGCCUAGGUCCCUUGAGGACAGCUUUAAGCCCGAUGCUCGUAUUUUAGUCCUUGAGGUAGUGCCUAGGUACCUAGUUGUUGCACCCAAAUUAUCGAUGUCCGGGCCUCAGUCCCCGAUGCCCAUGCUAGAGUUCCCAGCGGUUGGACUUGAGAAAUCCUAACUCCUGCAACUAGAACUUGGUGGUUGGGUAAUAUGAACAUCACACAAAUAGUACAUGUCUUUUUAGGAAAAUGAAAUUAAGUUUUCCUUUUUGAACGACAAAUAAUAAUUUCUAAUUCAUUUUCAGAUUUCAUCUAAAUAUUAGAAAAUAUUGUAUUUUUCCUAAAAAUACUAUUUGAAAGACAUUAUCUGAAAAUGUCAAAUUUUCUCAAAAUAAACUGAGCCUAAGUUUAUACGUGGGUAGCACAUAGUUGUCAUGAAUGACUGUCAUCUCAUUAUGUAGUUGACUUGGACAUGUAAUAGGCCUGAUUUGUCACCGGAUAUAUUUAAAUGGAAGCUUCACUGUAGCAAAAAGUUGUGGCGAGAAUAUGAAGGGAUCCAAAAAAAAAUUCUAAGAUGUAGAACUUGUAUGGCGUUUUCCCAUUAAAUGCAUAGCUUUGAAGAUGAGCAAUGGGUCGUAUCACCAUGAGUUCCUAUACAAAUCCAUAAUUAAAAAACGUUUAUGUACAUUUUUUAAAAAGGAUCAUAUAGUUUUUAAAAGUGUUAAUACCAUAAGAAACUUCAAAUUGGUAUAUAUAUGACAAAUUUACAAUAAACUAAUAUUUUGACCAUAAAAACCUCAAAUUGAUAUAUAUGUGACAAAUUGACUCUAUGUUAGUUUUCGUUAAGUUUUAUAGUAAAAAAAUUGAGUUAAAUUACACAUGACAGUUGAUAGGUAUAUCGAUUUAAGAUUUUACCCUCCGUUUGUCAUAGGUGCAUUAGUUUGUAAUUGUUCAUGGUAUUAAUCCAAUUUAAUAGUUAACCGAGGUUAAAUUUGUCAUGAAUAUAUCAAUUUUGGAUUUUUAGUGGUCAAAAAUUAGUUUGGGAUAAAUUUGUCUUACGUUUACCAAAUUGGAGUUUUUAGUUAUCAAAAAAUUAGUUCGAGAUAAAUUUAUCACGUAUCUAUCAAUUUAAAGAUUUUUGUGGUACCAAUCAUUUUUAAAAAGGGUACCAUCACCUUUUUGAACAAAUCUAGCAGUAGGUGCUAACUAAGACUUAACAAAAUUAAAAAAAUUCCUAGAGAAAAAGCAUUAGCUAUGAACUACUCGCAAAUGUAUCCUUUAACCUCGAGGCAAUGAAUCGGUGCAGUGGUCAGAUCUAGAAAUGGUCUAGGGACUAUGGCAUCCAAUUUCUUAGGCGAGAAUAACUAUACUAUGAUGGUUGUGUGAGAUUUUGUCAUAUUAUUGUCAACUUUUCUAAAAAUUUACGUUAUCAGAUAAAAGCGUAAUUUAAUAUUUAUGUAUUCUAUCAUUCCACCUCAUACUUAGUCUGGUUUUCUUCUUCUUCUUCUUCUUCUUCUUCUUCUUCUUCUUCUUCUGCAUACUAUCAAAUGUGUAUAUAUUUAAUUGGGGAAGCAAAUGGGAUCUAGAAAGAUUUGAACUCAAGACAUUCUACUCUAAUAUUAUGUGAGAUUUUGUAGGACUAUUGUCAACAAUUCUAAAAACUUAAAUUUGUAAUUGAAAGCAUAAUUUAAUAUUUAAGUAUUCUAUCAAGUUGUCGAUGCCUAGCAAGCCUUAAAGAAUAAUGACAUUUAAAUGGUACCGUGAUAGUUUUGUCCCUCAGAAGCCUCAUGUAAUUGAAAACCCCACAUGAUAGUAACCAAGGUGGUCACUUACCUAUGGGGAAAAUUACCAAGUUCUAAACCUAUUAAAAUUGUGCCAAUUCAAUUCUAAAUAUUUUUUUGGCCAAUUGAGUCGUAAACAUUUUGUAUUUGUGACAAUUUAAGCCAUCCAGUCAAUUUUGGUUUGCCACUCAACGCUGACAUAAAUGUUAACCAUCCUAAGUGAUGCAACCAGUGUUGACAUGAACAAGUUUACAUAAUAUUAUAAUAAAAUUUCAAAUUUUUCUAUUUAUUCUUUUUCUUUUCUUUUCUUUACUUUCUUCUUCCUCUAGCCAAUCAUCGACUCGUGACUAGCCAGAGGCGGGGUCAACAAGACCUUGCUAGAUUUGGCGAUGUUCAAGCCUUGCCCUCACUAGAUCCAACAAGGUCUUGCCUCGCCUAGCCACUGGCGAUAGUUGAGCUUGCAAGGUGAGAGGUUGAGCCUUGCCCAUCCAUGGCUAGACUCUCGCCGACUUUGCCUCUAGCUAAUCGCCAACAAUGACAUAUUGGAGGAUAAAGGAAGUUAAAAAUUAAAAAGAAAGAGAAAAAAAUUUAAGACAAGCAUACAUAAAUUUAACAAAUUUUAAAAUAUCAUUAAAAAUUAUCCACGUUAGCGUUGAUGGCAUCAUGUAAGAUGAUCCACACUCAUGUCAAUGUUGGCAAGUCACUUUUUCCUGGAUGGAUUGAAUUGGCACAAAUAGAAAAGGUUUAGGACUCACUUAGCUAAAGAAAAAGGUUGAAGAUUGAAUUAAUACAAUUACAAUAGGUGUAUGAGUCUUUUGGUAAUUUUUACUUAGUUUAUGGCAUCUUGCGAGAUGGUGGCCAACCUCAUUAUCAGACCCUCUCACUCCCUAUUGAAACCGUAGUUUAAUAUUUAAGUAUUCUAUCAAAUUGUUGAUGCCUAUCAAGCCUCAAGCAAUAAUGACAUUCAAAUGGUACCAUGAUAGUUGUGUCCCUCGAAAGCCUCAUGUAAUAGCAACCCCUACAUGAUAGUCACUAAGGUGGUCGCUUACCUUAAUUUAUGGGGAAAAUUAUCAAAAAAGUUCUAAAUCUAUUACAAUUGUGCCAAUUCAAUUCGAAACUUUUUUUAGCCAAUUAAGUUAUAAACUUUUUGUAUUUAUACCAAUAUAGUCCAUUCGGUCAAUUUUGAUCGGCUAGUCGACAUUGACAUGGACAUUGGCUAUCCUACACGGUACCAUUGAUGCCAAUAUAGACAAUUUUAAAUAAUAUUAUAGUAUUUUUUUUCUAAUUUUCAUUUUAUUUUAUUUUUCUUUUAUUUUAUUUUCUUUACUUUCUUCUCCUCCAACUAGUCGUCAACACGUGACUGGCCAAAGGCAAGGCCAGCAAGACCUCACCGUAUUUGGUGAGGGUCAACCCUUGCCAUCAGUAGAUUCGGUAAGGUCUCGUCUCACCUAGCCACUAGCAAUGGUCGAGCCCACAAGGUGUGAGGUUGAGCAUUGCCCACCCAUGGCCAAGCUCUCGCCAAACCUGCCUCCAACUGAUCGCCAAUGGCGACCUCUUGGAGGAUGAAGGAAUUGAAAAGUAAAAAAGGAAAGAGAAUUUUUUAAAAAAAAUAAACAUAUAUAAAUUUAAAAAAAUUAUUAAAAAUUAUUCGUAUCAGCGUCGGUGGUACCAUGUAAGACAACCAACAUUAAUGUCAAUAUUGGUUGGGCACUUUUGACUAGAUGGACUGAAUUAGCAUAAAUACAAAAGGUUUAUGAGUUAAUUAGCUAAAGAAAAAAGUCGAAAAUUGAAUUAAUAUAAUUACAAUAAAUGUAUGACAUUUUUUAGUAAUUUUAACUUAGUUUAUGACAUCACUGCAAGAUGAUGGCCGGCCUCAUUAUCAAACCCUCACCUCUCCACACACCACCCCCCCCCCCCCCCCCCCCCGGUAUGAUUUUUCAUGUUGCUAAUAUGGCAUCUACUUGACGCCAUAUAAGAAAUAUUUCAGUGCUCACAUAUUUCAAUCGACCGAGUUUCUAAAAGGACAAAUAGUGACCCUUUUUAAAAAGCAUGGAAGUUAUCAUUUUGAAAAAAACAAACAGUACACGGACUGAAGGUGAGAUUGUGAGAAGUUUUCCUCCGCCUUUUUCUUUAUCAUUCGACACUCUUAUCAAGACACGUUUCUGAAAACGUUCGCAAACUAUUCAAGGUAAGGCGGGCUAGGGGCCAAAAAGAUCACACGCAUGGCGAAGCUAUUUCGUCUCGUUCGACGAAACCCUCGUGAACUGUGUCGUAAUAAUGGCGGAUUACCGGCCGUCGCUGACGAAUGACUAGUUCCCACUUGGCUUGCGAUCAGAAAGAUCGACAGGCUUCGACGGUUGAAAGCUUCAAUGGGGGUUAGAGUUACGACCCACAGAGCUCGAGGAGACGAAGAAAACGUGAAAUUCAAUAGAAAACACUGAAUCCAUCGGAAGGGAAGGAAGCUGCUGCGCAACGAAACAUGGCACGAUCGGGGUGGCUGCGGAGGCGUGAAGAUGAAGUUGCUGGUUUUGAGUAAGAAACUGUCGAAGAUUGUGCUCCCCGAGAAACCCUUCUUUACUCCGCUUAACUUGAAAAACAUUAAAAAAAGUUAACCCUUCAUGUGUUAUCGCACGCAUUUAUACUAUCCGCAAGGGGAAAAAAAAUUAGUGCCCCAAAGUCAAAUUAAUUACUUCUAGCUUCAUUCGUUUGUCUAGCAAGUAUAAGUUGGCUUAAUUAUGAAUCAAUUUGAAUUCUGAAACGAACAAUGCUUGGGAUACGAAUUUAUAGACUAUAAUCGGUCGAUUCAAUAUACAAAGAAGAGGAAGGCAUUUAUUUAAAAUAAUCAUUUCUGAACUUGAGUCUGUCAAGUAAUAGCUCGUUUUUGCUCCUCCACUUGGGCAAAACUUUUCAUUUCAAUUUAUGAACGAGUAGCUUGGGAUGACAAAUUAAGUAUUCAAAUAGAAGAAGUUUGUAUGGUUCAAAGUGGUGUGUUCAUUGUGUUAUGUGUAAUUAGUGCAUUAAAAAUGAGAAUGAUUCGUUAUUAUAUAUGAGUUAAAAGGCUAUUAUAUUAUCUUCAAUGAGGGAAAAGCUAGAAUUUAUAUCCUAUUUUUUCCCUAAAUAGGAGGAAAUCAACUCUCACAUAGGCCUAUGAUAAUUCAUAAAGCCUUUGGAGAUGUGCUAACUGCCAUAUUUUUUUUAUGGAACUUAUUUUGUUUUUCGUCAAUAUGAUUGCGAUUCUUUCAAUUUGAGUGUCCAUUUGACCUCUUUAAAAGAUCGCCGUGUUAUCUUUUCAGGAUUAAAUGAUUCUUGAGAUUAUUAUUCAAAUGUUAAUGAUGAGAAAUUGAGGAUAACUUGAAUAUUGACUUCCUUACAAGAAAAACCUUUACCUUUUUAUCAUGACAGCUUUUGAACUUUCCAUUUUGUCUAAAAAAGUAUCCCAAAUUGGUGUUAUUCGACCUAGCAUCAUAGGGGAAUAUGUGAUCCAUAAUGAUACUUUCAAUUAUUGUUCUAAAAAGAUUAUAUUUAUAUGGAGUGAUUUCGAAAUGAUAGACGACUCAAUAAAUUGUUAGGGAAGAAAUUAAGAAGAGAAAACAACCGAUUAAUUAUCAAUUAUGUUAUGACCCAAAUCAAUUGUGUUUGGCAAGACUAAUUAAGAGAGAAGAGUAAUAGCAGGAAAUCAAUUUCACAGUCAAAUCAUCCUAUUUUUGGAAGGAUUUAUAAUUCAGCAAAAAUUAAUAGAGACAAUCCAGAGGGAAAAACCAAAUCCUUUCUCCUCUUCCACUGCAAAAAGACACAGUUAAUCUGUAAACCCUCUCUGAAUCACUCAAAACAAAACACAAUAUUAAUCAUGGGGUUCUUUGGCCAAACUACAACGGCAAAAGUAGGUGUGAGCUCAGGUCUCAAUUUCAAAAGAAAUAUCCAGUCUAGCUCCCAAUUUAAGGUGCUUAACCUACCCACCCACUCACCUAGGAAGCAGCAGUUUAGAACAUAUUUAAAAAACCCAAACUCCAAGUCUAUUUUCUCAUCUCUCUCUCUCCCCCCACCCCAACAGCACUUGAGUUUGUCAACUUGGAUCUGAGCUCUGAAAACUGGUGAAUAUAUUGUCUGGACUACUAAAGUUUCAAUUCAGAAAAUUCCUUGUACUCUAGAUGUUUGAUGAAAUGCCUCUAUGGUAUAACUAUUUCAUUCAAGCGUUUUUUUGUAUGCAUUUUCUGAACGGUGGUUUAGUGUUUGUUAAUACUUUGUUCCUUUAGAAAUGAAACAAAACAAGAAGUUUUAGGCCGGUUCCAAGAUCAACGGGAUUUUUUCUAAGUUCUCUAUCUCCCUCAAUGAUUUGCAUGGAUUUUUUUCGAGUGGGAGAGGGAUCUAGCAGGGUGAUCCUAUGUCCCUGUAUCUUUUCACGCUUGUUAUGGAGGUGUUCACUAGAAUCCUCAAUUCCCAAUCGGCUAAGGUGGGCUUUAACUUCUUUUGGAGAUGCAAAGCAACUAGGCUCUCUCACCUAUUCUUUGCAGACGAUGUGUUAUUAUUUUCGGAAGCUAAUAUGUCAUCCCUUCGCCUUCUAUUGGAUGGAAUUCGUUCAUUUGCUAGCUGGUCUGGCCUUAACCCCAAUCUUAACAAAAGCGAAAUAUUUCUUUCGGGCAAUUCUCAAGCUCUAAAGGACUCCUUAGUGAGUACUUCUGGUUUUCAGUUGGGCUCUCUCCCUUUUAGGUACCUCGGGGUACCCAUUUUAUCAUCAAGAUUAGGUAAAUUGGAUUGCAUAUCUCUGGUGAAUGCUAUAACUUUAGGAGUCCAAUCUUGGACCAACUGGUUUCUUUCUCUUGCGGGCCGUCUGCAAUUGAUCAAAUUGGUCCUUCACUUGAUCCAAGUUUAUUGGUCUAGUGUUUUUAUCCUUCCUUCUUUGGUCACAAAGCGGAUUGAGUAGAUUUUUCGUCAGUUCCUAUGGAAAGGACCGACUCUUGGUUCCGAGGGGGUGAAGGUGGGAUGGGAUGAAGUAUGCUUACCUGAGGAGGAAGGUGGUUUGGGCAUCCGGUCCAUUCGGGUUAGUAAUAUUGCUUCUAUAAUUAAACACCUUUGGCUCCUCUUUACUGAUAAAGAAUUGCUUUGGUGCAAAUGGAUCCAUUCCAACUUCAUCAAGCGAAAGAAUUUAUGGGUUAUUCCAAAACCUACUAUAAGUUCGUGGGCUUGGAAAAAGCUGCUUGGCAUUCGUGAUUUAAUUCAACAUCAAUUCAAGUGGCACAUAGCCAAUGGAUUAUCGACAUCUUUUGGUUCGAUCAUUGGCAUUCUCGAGGACCACUCUAUAAGCUUUUCUCAGAUCGAGACAUCUACUGCUCUGGCAUCCCUCGGCUUGCUUCUAUUGCGGCUGGUCUGACUACCCUCCCCCCUCCUACUGCAGUUUCGGCAACCAUAGUGAGUUGGGAUGAUCCCCUCCCGAACCUCAAUAACACUAAUGACCGACUCCUAUGGCUUGGCCAUUCUUCAGGGGUGUUCUCAACGGCUUCUACUUCGACUCUUCUAAGGCCGGGGGGCCAUCUUGUUCUUUGAUCGAGAUUCAUUUGGAAUUCCUCUUUGCCCCCCCCCCCCUCAGUUAUCAAUCACAUUUGUGGUUGAUCACUUGCAACCGUUUGCCGACCCAGGUUGUGCUGCUUGCGUAUGUGAGAAUUUUGGACUCCUCUUGUGCGUUCUGCUCUUCUAGGCCCGAUUCGGUGGACCACUUGUUUUUUGGUUGCUUUGUCACGGGUAGCCUUGGUGCUUUCUAGGCGAAUAACUAUAACCUGCCCUAGCGAAAUUCAUCGUGGAGGAAUAACUUAGCUUGGGUUAUCGAGCGCCUAUCCGAUACAAGCUUCCAUCAAUUGGUGGCUCGGUUUGGUUUUGUUGCCUUGUGCUACCUUAUAUGGAAAGAAAGGAACAAUAUCAUCUUCCACGGUCAAACCUUAUUCCUCCCAACCCUAAAGGAACAUCUUCGCAAAGCUGUCAAGAAUAGAGCCAUUACCUUUUCCAAGGUCACGGAUACGACCCGUAAUAAAAGACUUCAGCUCAAUUGGGGUAUCCACCCCUCGAUCUUUCGUUAAUCUACUAUCCUUUCGCUGGUCGGUGCCUCUUUUAUGCUCCUGGUUGGUUGUUUAUUGCGGAUCCUUUUCGACCUAAGUUCUUGGACACCCCUUUCCUUGUCCCUUUCUCCCUUUGAGGUUCUCCUUUCUCGGUUGGUCCUAUUAUGCUCGUUGCUGGUUUGCUAUUUGUCUCCGGUGCUUUCAAGAUGAUGGCCCUUGCUGCUUCGUUGAUGUGGGUGUUGCCCUCUCGUGUGAUGCGGCAUCUAGCUUCUCCUCAGCAAUCGGUGGCUUCACCUUGGUGUUUCGCUGUCUUGCUGUUUUUUGUUUCUCCCUUGUUUCUCUGUCUCGUGUGCGGGCUGCUUUUUUUGGCCCUUCUCUCCUCUGCUAUAGCUAUUGUUUUAGCCUUUUUCUUUGCUGCUGUUCUUUCUUUCCCUGUUCUGCAGCUUUACCCCCGGUACCCUUCCACUCUUUUGACUACCUUGUCUUCUGAGUGUAAGUUUUUUGGUUCCGAGGUCCUUAGCUGUACUGUUGUAUAGCCUCCUGGUUCAAAAGUCAAUAUAAUACUUACCUUUUACCAAAAAAUAAAAAUAAAUAACCCCGGAACUAAUCAUCUCUAAGCAAAAGAAUAUGAUGGAAUGCAAUUUAAUACAAAAUAAGUUAUAUUUAAAUUUAGAAUUCACAAUCUUUACGGACUUCAAAUUUAGGGAGGAAUUUAGAUCAAAUAAUUAGGGGUGACAUGAGGACUAUCCUGAUACGAAUAAUAAUAUGGCUAUGUCCUCUCAUUAAUAAAUCUCGAAAGAGAGCAGUCUCAUCUAGCUAGGUCAUGGCUGUUGUCACGGCAACUUUUGCACCAGUGGAGACAUAUGUAGUGUCCCUCUGCCACCAUGAUCCAGACAUUAUAAAAACAGAUGUCAUUGACUUAAGUACUAUUCAGUCAAUUUCUAUUUUGCAGGUGAUGGCAGCUCGGAAGCAUGCAGACAAUGUUGGUUGGACCAGCCCCUCAUGGACCCUAUUCCAUUUGCUUUUGGAAAUCAAAGAUGCCCCGCUCAUUCACCCAUUUCAGUCAGCAACACAAGCCGAUGCUGAACGACAAAAGUAAAUCGGAGCAAAUUAAAGGAGAUAGUAAAUAAUGUUCACGCGUUCCCUUUUCCAAACCACUUGUCUUGUAAGUGAGACGCCAGCUAAUUCUGGAUCAAUCAGUUCACGGGAGUUUAGACUCUCUUGAUUUUUGUCCGCUGAGUCCAAAUCGCUUGACAGGUGUACUUGCACCGACUCACAGAGAGCAUGGCCAUUUUUAGUGUGCGUCCUUUCGAAUUUAUGAUAAUCCCAUUUUUUCCACUUUGUAAUUCCUUCAUGUUUCUUCCUGCUAUAGCAAUUUGUGACUCCCACCAUUCAAAAGAUCACCUGCUGAGCAUGAAUGAAACUAUGCAAAAAUCGAAGGGAGGACAAAUUGGGGAACUUAAGCUUGCGGUGGUUGCUUUUGAAUCGAUAUAUUGUAGUGCUUGGGCACCACACUUACUUGCAUGGCGUGACGAUGGAGUUCACAUGAAAGAUCUGCGAACAUUAGCUUGAGGUGAGCUUCACUUUCUUGGGAUAAUGUGCGUAGAGAGAGAGAGAGAGAGGAACAAUAAUCGGAGGUCAUAAUCUCAGAAAUUUCUGGGAUAUUGAAUGAACGUGACUCUUCUUUAACUUUUGCGGGGAAGAAAGUGGCAAAGUUCUGACAAAUGGGGAAUUUUUAAAGCCCAGCUUGCUUUGAAAGAAUAUCGUCUGGGAAAACAACGUACAUUGUCGAAUUAAUUAGUUUGAAGGAUGUGGUCUGAAAAAUAUAGAAAUUGACGAGUAGAUCCACAUAGAAUUUUUAACAAAGUUCUUUUUUUGAAAAAAUAUGAAAGACACUUUCCAAAAGCAUAUGCGAGAACCUUCUAGACAUUUAUGUCAUGGUUAAUCUUGCUUACGCAAAAAAAAAAAUGUGAUCGAAGGAAAUGGAGUUCAAAGAGUAAUAUAUCAAGGAAGUGUCUCACCGUGCUAAAAUUGGAAUCGACUCAAUCACAAAGCAAUAACCUUGGUAUUGGCGAAACUUAUGGUCUUGCAAUUGCAAGUAAUGGACUAGAUUUUCGGUCUGCUAAUUUGGAUCACCUAUUAUUGCUCGUACGGCAAAAAUAGUUUAAGAAUUCAAUACCAUAGGUGAGAUAAACUGCAAAAGGAUAACGUUUUAUAGAACACAUACAUGCAAACUUUCCUACUAAAUCUAAGUAACAAAAAUCAUUCGAAGUCCUGGAACAUCUCUUGCCAAGAAAGUUAUUAAAUGGCACAGUUGUUGAUAGUUCAGCAAAAUUGAAAAUUACUAUCAAAAUUUAAAAUAUUAUGCAACCUUUAAAAAUUAUGGAAAAAUAUGUGACUUUAUAUGUCAACAUUUAUAUGUUACGAUAGUUUCAAAUACUCUCAGAUAAAAGAAGAAAUUAAAGUGCAUGUCUCACGAAAUUUGAAUUAAGUAAAACAUAAAAGUUAAAAGUCAAUCAAGACGCUUUCAAAAUAAGCAUUGAGAUGGUUUUUUUUUAACACAUGUUGACAUUGUUAUUUUUGAAGUGAAAGACAACGUUAGGGUAUAAUUCAUACCGUUCCUUAUUAAAAUUUAUAUGUCAUGUUACUAAAGUCAAACAUUUUUGAAUUCGAAACUCGACUUGAUUAAAUAUUGUAACUCUUCAUGCAUGGCUAUUCUACAACUCUAAUUUUUUUUUUAAUAAAUCGUUUAUAUUACGACCCUAGUUAGUAUACAUCUACAUCAAUGUAAUAGCAACUUAAGAUGAUUGUCACCCACCAUCUUCCAUCUUUCCAAUUUAUACUAAAAAAAGAAAGCAAAAACAAUAUGCAGGUAGUUAUGUUUUAGGCCAAGCUAUGCAUAUAAUAUUGAGUAGUGCUAUAGCUAAACCAAAGCUAACGCCCAUAACUGACACAGUGACAAGUAUCGUGGGAGAUUGUGAGGAGGUACUUAAACUAACAAAUAAAAUGUCAUAUAACUUCAUGUAUGGAUUCAUAAUUAUUCUCAAUUUAUAUGUCUUUAUUCUUUAAUGUAAAUUGUAUUAAUGAGUGUCUUUGAUGCAUUUAUCUAUCACAUUUAAUAAUAAAAUGUUUCAAUUUUUAAUGCAUUAAUAAUUUAUAAUACGAAAAGAAAUAAUGCAAUUAAAAAUGCAAACUUUUCUUAACUAAAUGUUUAAUGUUGUAAAAUAUCGCGUGGCGAAUAUAUAAUAGAGAAGAGAUUAAAGAAGAGAAAGCAAGUGAACACUAGAGAUAGUAGCAAGAUGAGAGAGUUUUAUUUCUAGUAUCUCACUGUCGUGUUUCUGUGUGAUUGUGUAUUGUACAUCAAAACUAACCUCCUAUUUAUAGGAGAACAAGAAUGUACUUAUCAUUAAUAUCAAUGUAUCGAAUGAUAUAUGUACAGGAUAAGGGAGACGAAUGUUCAUUGUAUAGGGAGAUGUACUUAGAACAUUUGAUACAAAUGUACCAUAAUAAGUACAUUGGAUAAGAUGAAUAUAAUGAAUAUUCAUUCAUGUAUUCUAUCCAUUCAUGUAUUUCAUAACACUCCCCCUUGAAUAUUCAUCAUAUUCAUUACAAAUGUGCAUUGAAUGAUACUGCCUCAUUAAAAACCUUAAGCUGGAAAAACUCAGUGGGAUAAAAACCGGACAAAAGGGAAAAAGAGUGCAAAGCACAAAUGUUAUGAUCUCUCCCUUUUAUGGAUGCAUUAAUUGCCUCGUUAAAAACUUUAAGCCGGAAAAACCCUAUGGGAAAAAACCGGACAUAAAGAAAAAAGAGUGCAAUGCAUAUAUAGCCACUCCUGGGGCUAAUCAUUAUUGCAUCUUGUGAACUAGCCACAUAUCAAUGCUGCAAUGUAUAAUUCAUAAUAUCUCCCCCUCAAUUGAGCCAUAUAGCCACUUCUGAGGCUAAUCAAUCUUACAUCUUAUGAACUCGCCUCAUACCAAUGCCAUAUACUAAUUUCUCAAAGGUUGAUGUUGGCAAUGAUUUGGUAAAAAGAUCUGCAAGAUUAUUUAUGGAUCGAAUCUGUUUAACAUCAAUUUGUUGACUUUCUUGAAGUUCAUGAAUAUAGAAAAAUUUCGGCGAGAUAUGCUUGGUCCUAUCACCUUUGAUAUACCCUCCCCUGACUUGUGCAACACAAGCAGCAUUAUCUUCAUAAAUUAUAGUGGGAGAAUUGGUAACCGAUAUUAAGCAACAAGAAUUAUGAAUAUGUGUUAUAACGGAUCUUAUCCAAACACACUCUCUUCCAGCUUCAUAUAAAGCAAUAAUUUCAGAGUGGUUAGAAGAUGUAGCUACUAGCGAUUGCUUCGUAGAACGCCAAGAAAUAGCGGUGUCGUUAUAACAAAAUAAAUACCCGGUUUGAGAGCGAGCUUUAUGUGGAUCGAAUCUAUAUCCAGCAUCAGCAUAUCCAACUAAACUAGAGUUAGUGGAAUCCUUGAAAUAAUAUAAUCCCAAAUCUAUGGUUCCUCGGAGAUAACGGAAAAUAUGUUUAACUCCAUUUCAAUGUCUCCGAGUUGGCUCAGAACUAAAACGUGCCAAUAAAUUUACCGCAAAAGCGAUAUCUGGUCUCGUACAUUGUGCCAAGUACAUCAAAGCCGCAAUUGCAUUGAGAUAUGGUACUUCAGGACCAAGUAUCUCUUCAUCAGAUUCUCUAGGACGAAAUUGGUCCUUUUGGGGAUCCAGAGACCUUACAACCAUAGGGGUGCUCAAUGGAUGAGCUUUGUCCAUGUUGAAACGUUUAAGCAAUCUUUCAACAUAUGCUAAUUGAUGGACGAUUAUUCCAUUUGCUUUAUGCUCAAGCUCUAGACCAAGACAAAGUUUGGUUUUACCCAAAACUUUAACUUCAAACUCCCUUUUCAAAUAUUCAGCAGUUUCAGCUAACUCUUCUGGAGUUCCAAUUAAAUUUAUAUCGUCAACAUAAACUGCUAUAAUAGCAAAUCCAGUUUCUGAUUUCUUAAUAAACACGCAUGGGCAGAUAGGAUCAUUUUUAUACCUUUCCUUAAUUAGGUACUCACUUAGGCGUUGAUACCACAUGCGACCGGAUUGCUUUAACCCGUACAAGGAUCUUUGCAAUUUUAUUGAGAAUAAAUUGCGGGGAGUGCAUGCUUCAGGCAUUUUGAAUCCCUCAGGAAUUUUCAUAUAAAUAUCAGAGUCUAAUGAGCCAUAUAGAUAUGCCGUCACAACGUCCAUAAGACGCAUUUCCAAUCUUUAAAAGAUUGCUAGGCUAAUGAGAAAACGAAAUGUAAUCAUAUCCAUCACAGGUGAAUAUGUCUCAUUAUAAUCAAUCCCAGGUCUCUAGGAGAAUCCUUGGGCAACGAGUCGGGCUUUAUACUUGACAACCUCAUUUUUCUCAUUUCGUUUUCGGAUAAAUAUCCAUUUAUAUCCAACGGGCUUUACAUUAUCAAGGAUACGAGUUACAGGUCCAAAAACCUCUCGUUUAGUUAGGAAAGCUAAUUCAGCUUUAAUUGCUUCCUCCCACUUAUGCCAAUCUUGCCUUUGACGACAUUCAAUAAUAGAUUGUGGUUCACAAUCACCAUCCAUAAUUUGAUGAGCAACUGAGAAUACAAAAGCAUCAUCAAUGAUGAUUUCAUUUCGAUCCCAAAUUUUAUUACAAUAUGUAAUGGAAUUCUCAGUAUUCCCGGGGCUAGUGCUCCUUUCAUGGGUUUGCGCCUCUUCAGGGGCAAUAAGCUCUUUGGGAGCAAGCACAACGCCAGGCUCUUCUGGAGCGGAUUCCUGAUUCUUUCUCCUUCGUUUUCGAGGAGCAGUAUCUUUUGAUCCUAUCGGUCUACCACGCUUCAAGUGCGGGGGAUUUUGAUCCAUUUUAGCCCGUUCUUCGGGAACAACUAUCCUAGCUGGAGCAUUUGCAGCUAGAAUAUAAGACUUCGUUACCUUAGUAGCAUCAUUAAAUGCGUCAGGAAGUCUAUUGGCCAUAGCCUGUAAAUGGAUCAUGCGCUGCACCUCGUUUUCACAUUCAGGAAUCCUUGAGUCUAAUUGAGAUAAAUUUUUCUCAUUCUAGGAGAAAACCUUAACUGUUUUUUGUUUUGCAGUCAUGGAAGUUGUAGGUAUCCCAAUUGAUGGAAACCUAGUCUCAUCGAAAUGACAAUCUGCAAACCUGACAGUAAAAAGAUCAUCAAUAGUUAGUUCCAAGAACCUAAUGAUAGAUGGUGAAUUAAACCCAACAUAAAUGCCCAAACGGCGUUGGGGACCCAUUUUCGUCCUUUUUGGCGGUGCUACAGGCACCUGUACUACACAACCAAAGGUGCGUAGAUGUGAAAUAUCUAGUUCAUAACCAAGAACCAUUUGAAAGGGAGAUUGUAAAAUACUAGCAAUGGGGCGUAAUCUUAUUAGAGUUGCCGCAUGCAAAACUGCAUGACCCCAUGCUGUAUCGUUGAGAUUCGUUCUCAAUAAUAGAGUGCGGGCAAUGAUUUAGAUACGUUUAAUCAAGGAUUCUGCCAAUCCAUUUUGAGUAUGAAUAUAUGCAACCGGGUGCUCAACCUCGAUUCCGAGUGAAGCACAAUAUGUAUCAAAACUCUUUGAUGUAAAUUCACCAGCAUUAUCCAUCCUUAUGCUCUUAAUUGGAUAAUCAGGGAAUUGUGCCCGGAGCUUUAUAAUCUGCCCAAGUAAACGUGCAAAUGCAACAUUGCGCAUAGAUAAUAGGCAAACAUGGGACCAUCUACAGGAUGCGUCCACUAAUACCAUAAAAUAUCGAAAUGGUCCACUUGGUGGUUGUAUUGGUCCACAAAUAUCACCCCGAAUUCUUUGCAAGAAUAAAGGAGAUUCAAAAUUAACAUUUGUUAUAGAAGGUUUGAUAAUGAGCAUUCCUUGUGAGCAAGCCUCACAAUUAUAAUCUUUGGACAACAAUAUCUUUAUAUCCUUUAAAGGGUGCCCUUUUGUAUUUUGAAUUAUCCUACGCAUCAUUGAAGCGCCAGGAUGACCAAGGCGAUCAUGCCACAGUCCAAACUGAUCAGGGCUUACCAAUCUCCAGGAUAUGGUAGCGUAGGUUUCAACGGCUUUAAUCAUGACACAAUACAAACCCAUAGAAGAAGCUUCUAGCUUCUCAUGGAUGGUCUUCAGGCCCAUCUUAUAAGAGGAAAUGCCAAUAUAUUCCUUAUCUUGCUCAUAAAUAGUCUCAAUAUGGUACCCAUUACGGCGUACAUCUUUGAAACUAAGCAGAUUCAUUUUUGAUUGAACGCUUAGAAACGCAUUCUCAAUGUGCAGGAUUGUACCAUUUGGCAAAAUAAUUGUAACAUUCCCAAAACCAUCAAUAAUCGAAACAGGACUUGAUAUUGUAUGGAUUUGUGCCUUACGCAAUGUCAUACUCGAGAAAAAGUGUCUACUACAAAAUAUAGUAUGUGUUGUUGCACUAUCAAGCAAACAAACAUCUUCAUUUUUCUCGGUAUUUUCCAUUUGCAUUUAUAUUGACAACUUCAGGUGUCAAGUAUCAUAAAAGUUGCAUAUUAGUUAUAUAGUCGAAUAAAAUUUCAAAGAUAAAUAUUAUAUAAGGUUCAUAAGUAUUUCAUAAAGAACAAUAAAAAAAAGUAAUACAUUUAAAGCGAAACAACAUAAAUUUCAAAGUUCAAAUUAUUAUCCAUCAAUCUGAUUCAUCAAAGUAAUCAGAGGUCCUCAAAGAAAUCAGAGACAUCCAAUGAUGCAUUUGCUACUUCAGGAGCAAGAGGAGUCCCACCAACGGAGAUAUUGUUGGCCUCAACAAUGGUUAUGGCAGUAGGAUUGAUUUCAAUGGCAUGAGAUUCACCACGCUUGUCCGUAUUCUUUAAAGAUGCCUGGUAUAGGUCAACAAAAUGUUUUGGCGUACAACAGGUACGUGACCAGUGCCCAAUCAUGCCACAGCGAUGACAAAUACUUUCAUUAAUCACCUUCUUUUGCUUCUUUUCUUUGCCAUGAUUCAGGCCAAAGUUUGAUUUCCUAGGGCGGUUAAAUUUCUUGCCAUCCCUUCUAGGAUUAUAUUCUUGCCUGCGCUUAUAGCCCUUAAAAUGGCCAGUAUUUUUUCUCAAAGUUAGCAUGUGCUUCAGGCAAUGCUUUUGAGCCAGCAGGUCUAAGAUCAUGAUUUUUGAGCAACAAUUCAUUAGUUUGUUCGGCAGUAAGAAGCACAUAAAUUAAUUCAUAAUAUGUGGCAAAUUGACGUUGCCGGUAUUGCUGUUGCAAUACAAUAUUCGAAGCAUGAAAGGUGGAAAAAGUUUUCUCAAGCAAUUCUGCAUCAGUGAGUUUGAUACUGCAUAACUCUAGCCGAGAAACGAUAUCAAAUAAAGCAGAAUUAUAGUCAGACACUGAUUUAAAAUCUUGCAGUCUGAGAUUUUGCCAAUCAUAUUGUGCUUGAGGGAGGAUAACAGUUUUUGUAUGAUCAUACCUAUCCUUCAACAUCCUCCACAAGAUAUGUGGGUCUCGAACGGAUAAAUAUUGAGUCUGCAGGCUCUCAUGCAAAUGACGGCGAAUGAAAAUCAGCGCAUUUGUUUUAUCCUUUUUAUUUGAGGUUCCAUCCUCUGUAAUUGUAUUAGCGAGACAUUGCCAUUUGAGGUGCAUUUCCAUGUCAAGGCACCAGGAUAGAUAAUUCUUUCCACUCACUUCCAGGAUGUGAAAUUUGGGCUUUUCAAUAUUUGUCAUAAUCCUUGCAAAAAUAAAUCAUUAAAUUAAUUAAAAGGAUUUCCAAAUAUCCACCUCUACUUCAGGAGCAGAAAGAUACUUUUAGAUUUGAAUUUUUGGCUUCGGGCCAAGAAAAAUAAAAAUGAAGAAUUGAUAGGAGAAGAUGAAGUAUAAGUUGAUUAAUAAAAAUAAUACCCACCUUGCAAAAUUUACUUACUCAAUCGGUAGAUCUUCGUGCUGAUAACGUGUUGUAAAAUAUCGCGUGGUGAAUAUAUAAUAGAGAAGAAAUUAAAUAAGAGAAAGCAAGUGAACACUAGAGAUAGUAGCAAGAUGAGAGAGCUUUAUUUCUAGUAUCACACUGUCGUGUUUCUGUGUGAUUGUGUAUUGUACAUCAAAACUAAACUCCUAUUUAUAGGAGAACAAGAAUGUACUUAUCAUUAAUAUCAAUGUAUCGAAUGAUACAAGUACAGGAUAAGGGAGACGAAUGUUCAUUGUAUAGAGAGAUGUACUUAGAACAUUUGAUACAAAUGUACCAUAAUAAGUACAUUGGAUAAUAUGAAUAUAAUGAAUAUUCAUUCAUGUAUUCUAUCCAUUCAUGUAUUUCAUAACAUUUAACAACUAUUUCGGAGAUUUCGUCCACAGUUAUUUUACUAAUUAGAAGCGGAAAUCAUUGCGGUGCCCAAGAUUGAUUGAAGAUUCUGAUUUGCUUCCAGAAGCAGCAAACUGCUGGCGCCCGCCUUUUCGGGAGUCGAUAAUUUUUUUUGACGAUUCCGAGGACAACUAUUUAUGCGAAAAUGAUGACCCAAAAGAAGGAAGGAGAGGUUCUCUCUGUACAGGGAAUGAGAAUCAGUGGAGGAUUUUCUCGAAGUUCGGCCAUCAGAUGCGGUGUGCAUGCCUCACUAAAUUUUGCUUUUCUGGCUUAUAAAUUGGGAAGAUUCAACGAAACCUUGCUGGACAAAUGACGACCGAAAGCGAAGAAUACUUUAUGGGAGAUAGUCUUGACAUUCACACACGAGGAAGACCAGGAAGGAUUAGUAGUGUCAGUGCGGGUCGAUUACAUUUUUUAGUCAAUUCGAUUAAGUGCUCCACCACCAUCUGCAGAAUAUAUGCACGAGGCCAAUCAUUCUCUUCUUGACGAUAAAAAGUUCUUUUUUACUCAGAUGAAGCUUCAUUAACGGGAAAGUAGGGUGAGAAUAAUGAAGAUUUUGCUAUCGUUGUCACCAGCCACAAGGUGGGGUUCAUUUAAUCUCUUUGAUCCAAAAAAUAGGAUUCAUAUAAUUUGUAGUCGUAACAUAGUUAUCGUGAGAUUUCUAGUACCACCUUAUCUACUUUAUUUGGAAAAGAAUAUGCGUAGAAUGAAACCAUCGAUCCAUACUGCAAAUCAACGGUUGGAUCUAAGUCCUAACCCCCUCCUAUGCAAUCCUUUGGUGGGACUUUGGAAGGUGAUGCUUUCAUCAGCUUAAACACGUUUUAUUCCUGCAUUUGUUGAUAACUUGAUACUUCAUUAAUAAAUAUGACCUGACUUUGGAAUAAUCAUGUGAAUAUGCUGUUUGCUUAAGGGAAGUUAGGCAAGAUUUGCACUUUGACGGAACCCCUAAUACCAGAUUAUUUAUACGCGUUGAUAUCAAAAAUUGAACUUACAUAUAAAUAGUUCCACAUCAUAUUAUUAGCCUCCAAUCUUGGGUUGUUGGCCUCAAGGUAAAGGACAACUACCUUAGAUCUUUAGGGUAACAAACGGGAGCAAGUGGCAACGGUGGUAACGCUACGACUGGUGGCAAUCCCUACAGUGACAAUGGUGAGCAAUGACAACAAUAUAGACUUAAUGACAAGACAUGACAAGUGGGAGAGAGAGGUCGUUAUGGUUAGUUUUAAAGUAAGAUUUUUUGUCGAGAAACAAAUUUUUAUUUUCCGACAUUUGAAUCGAUUAGGAAAAUGAGUUAAUGAAUAAUCCUUUUAUAUUCAACAAAAAAUCUAUGUUUAAAUAGCCUUGCAAUGUCUCGGCAAGUGAGCGAAGGAAUAGAUGAAAGCCUCGUGAAGUGUGUCGUGUUAAAGGCGGAUUACUGGCAUCAGCAACGAACGAUUAACUCCCACUUGACUUGCGAUCAGAAAGCACGAGAGGCUUUGACGAUUGAGCUUCAAUGGGAUUGGAGUUUCGAUACUCAGAACUCGAAGAGAUGAAGAGAGAAAGAGCAUGGAAAUCAGUAAAGUAAAAUAAAAAACACUGAAUCAAUUGGAAGACGAGGAAGCUGCCGUGCAACGAAACAGGGCAUAAAGGGGUGGCUGGGUAGGCGUGACGGUGAAAUUGCUUGCUUUGAGGAAGAAACUGUCGAAGAUUGUGCUCCCCAGGAGUCCAAGAUGCCCUUCGCAUUCACCCGAUUUGGUCAACAACACGAGCCGGAAAAACGACAAAAAGCAAGUGAAAGCAGAUAUAUAAUAACGUUCACUGUCGAUUUUUCUAAACCACUUCUCUAGUGAGCAUCAGCCGCUGGAUCAGGUGAAAGCAGGACAUGCGAGGUUAGACUUUCCUAGACAAUAUCUGCCGAGUUCAAAUCGCUUACUGGUGGUAGUAGCGCCACCUCAGAGAAGCUGUAGCCACUUCUGGUGUGGCCCGUGAUUAUCCACCUUUGUCCACUUUGUAAUUCCUUAUUAUUAUUGAUCCACAUAUUCAAUUUUUGGGCUAACCCAAAGUCAUAUUGCCUACUGGUCUUACUGGAAAAGCAUCUAGCAGACUAGCACUCCAGCUUUUUGAAACGUUUUGGUAAUUCCCCAAAUAAAGAAGACUAAUCUCUCCGUUUCUCAACUCACACAAGAUUAUGAUUGUUAUUUUAGUUUGAUGGAUCUGGUCUCUGUUUUAACGUCUCGAAGACCCAUCAGGUUUUGAUAACGGACGGUAAUCAGCAUGGGUUGUAUGCCGUCAGAGAUCCACAAAAUUUAGCAUUUUUCUCUAGAAGGCAAAAAUCAGCAAAUAAGCAAGUUUGGCAUCAAAGAUUGGGACCCCCAUAUAGUCAAAUUUUGCAGUAUUGAGAAGGAAUAAUUUUAUUUCUGUCAGUAACAGGCCCGUAGACUUUGGAAUAGGUCAAAUUAUUUUAAGUGCUAAAUUGUCAAUUCGUUCUCAAGAUUCUCGAUUGUUUUGUGCUCUGGGCCAGAUUCAUAGUGUGAUAUAGGGGACCGCGGGAGAUGUCUCGGUCGUUCAAUGUUCUCUAGAUUCUUCAUUUGCAAUCGAUGACGAUAGAGUUUGACCGAUUAGGUGAGAUGAGUUAAAUUAAAAUGACUCAAGUCAUGGAAAAUCGACAAUCAUGUGGGGUGGAUAUUGAUAGCUACAUGAUACAGUUAGGAUAACAAGCAGUCGAGAGAUAUUGAACAAAUGUCAUGGCAUCAAAGAAUAAACACAGGUGAUUAAGUAUCUUAUGGCUAUGUGUUGGAGACAAGAGGAGAACACAUAGAUCAAGAUGUUGUAUAAAGACACAAAUAUCGAGUGAUGGUUAAGUAUACUAGCGGCAUUGGAGGUCGUAACUGCUUAUGAAUAAUGAUUGUCAACGUACACGCCAAGAACCUAGAAGGAUGUGCAUCCGUAACUGCGUUUAGAGAGAUAAUUGCAUAUUGUAAUCGUGGCUAGUAAGCCAUAUAUAUCCACGAUUUUCAUUGUAACUAGUCUUUUUAUUUCUAGCAUUUAUCUUGCACUUUUAUCGUCCUUGCAUUUUAGUUUUACCAUAUAACACAUCAAAGACUUGCUCCAAGAUUGCCAUUGAACCCAUCUUCAUAUAAAAAUAAAAAAUAAAAACCCUAGAAUCAACUUUUGAUGAAAGAUAUUUAUUAUUAAGGUGAACUUCCAUUUUUUGUGAAACAAGCGGGUGUCAACAUAUGCAUGUGUCACGGCCCGAAAGAAAGCAUGUCCAAGAGAUUCCUACGGGAUGGGCGUGACACAUCCGACCCUCGGCUUAUCCCGUUUGUUAGGGUUUUCUCGAGUCUUCUAAAAUACUCCUAGGGGCAGACGGUAAAGUGCCAUAUUAGGCAUAGGUUACCAAUGCUCUUUUUACUUUAUCAAAUCUCUAACAAAGAAAAAAGUAGGACUUUAUAUUUUAUUUCUUCCCUAAAUAGGAGGAACUCAAUUCUCACAUAGGCUUGAGAUAAUUCGAAAGGCCUUUGGGAAUGUGCUGGCUCCCAUAUUUUUAGCUGAACCACCACAGCACCAUGGUCAAGAGCUUAGGGCUGAAGCAGUUCAAAAGAAAAAGAUGAAUAGAGAAAAGAAAAAGAGACCCUAGACAAAAAUGCCCUGAUCAUGACUUGAAAAGUGAUGCGAGAAGCACAUGUGAGUUCAUGCCUUCAUUUGAUACUAUUAGCCACUUCAAACCCUAGUUUGAGAUCAUGUUCACUUUGGAUCCUCUUUUGAAAAAACGAUAUUAGUGCAAGCUCUUAUUUGAAAUAUUUCUUCAAAAGACUGUCGUAUCAUCCUUAAAAAAUUCAAUAGUUCUUAAAAUUAACAUUCAAAUUUUAUGUUGAAAUUUAUAGCAAUCUUGCAAUUAUUAAUUAUGAGAAGCUAAUUCCUUCCAUCUCAAUCUUCGCUUUCUCCAGUGUGAUGUGAUAAACGUCUAUCAUGAGGAAUCGAGGGAACCUGAAUAUCAAAUCCUUAAGAAAAAACCUCAUCCUUUUUAUCGUAGCCAUUAUUGGACUUUUCAUUUUUUUAAAAAUAAUAUCCCACUUUUUAAUAGACCACAUUUAUACAAUAAUGCGUUUCUCUUUCAUCUAGGUUCCUGUUGCUCACCUGACAUCGUAAAAAAUAAAGAAUUAUGUUCAUUAGAAAUCCUAAAACUUAUCAAGAAAAUAUAAUUGAGUCCUAAAAUUUAUUAAGAAAGUGCAAUCAAGUCUUUCAAUUACCUCCAUCCAAUUUGGCUAGCAGUAAAUGAUGACGUGGCUUUUUAAAUAUUUUAUCUCUCCUAUAUGGCAAUGAUGUGGUUACGACAUAGUUUUGAUCCAAAUUUGAUUGUUAAUAUAAUUUUUCUUUAAAUUAUAUUAAAAAUAAACUAAUUUUUUUAUUAAAAAAAAAAAAAAAGACAAAGAACCAAGCAACAAGGGCUGCCACCUCCACCACCCACCAUCAUUGGGAAGGGCUGGCGGUGGUGGGGGAAUGGUCGGUUGGGGAUCGCAAAACCCCAGCCAAUGUCAACCUUCAUCUAGGGGGUGAGAGUCACGAGAGGGCCAUGACCCUUUCCCAGAUUUGGACAAGGGCCUACAGGCCCUCUGCUGAUGUUGGCAAAGGUUGUCGGCCCCUAAUGGGCCCCGAUGACCCUGCCGGCUCACCCCCACACUCGCCAACCCCUCUUAGUGAUUUGAGUGUUAUACUUUAUGAUUUUGCCAUGUCAUCACCAUGUAGGAAUGAUAAAAAAAUUUAUAAAAAAAAAAAAAAGCCGUAUUGACAUUUUUCAUUGGCCAAAUUGAACGGAAUUUAUGAAAGGACUCAAUUGAACUAAUUUGACUAAUUUUAGGACUUGAUUAUACAUUUUGUAUAUUUUAGGACCACAUUGUACUUUUAUUAUAAGUUUUAGGUUUUCUAGUGAACAUAUCCCUAAAAAAAAUGCGUGAUCCAUACUAAUGCUUGCUAUUCUUGUCUAACAUUAUAUUUAAAUGGAGUGGCUUUUGAAGAGGAUAACAGAUUCGAUAAUUCGUUAGGAAUUAAAAAAGAAGAGAAAACAAUGGAUUAAUUGUGUUUGCUUGGCAAGACCGAUUAAGAGAGAGAGAGAAGAAAUGGAAGGGAAUCGAUUGUUUAGUUAAAUCAUCCUACUUUUGGACGAAUUUAGAACUCACUAAAAAUCUAUGGGGAUAAUCUGAGGGGGAAACUUCAAAUUAUUUCUCUCUCCUCUACUAAAACAAAUCGAAGGUUAUUUGCAAACCCUCUUCAAUCUCUCUAAAUCACUUCAAACAAAACACAGUGUUAAUUGUGGGGUUCUUUGGCAAUACUUUGGCCCAAUUAUAGAGGGGAAAGUAUGUGAUAUUCUUGGGAUAUGAUUCAAGACAAACUAAAUUUCAUUUAAAAGUAGAAUUUGCAGUCUUUCCGAACUCCAAAAUUAUGAUGGUAUUUUGAUUGAACUAUUAAAUCGGCAACAUUAAUACAAUAUGAAAACUUCAUGGGCUAUCAUGACAUCCUAUGUAUGAAAUUUUGAGACUUUUUUUUUUCAAUAUUGAAUGUUAUCUGACUUAUUUGGUAUUUCUUUGCUAAUUUUUUUUUUUUAUGAUGAUCAUGGUAGAAGUCUUGAAAUUUUUUAUAUAGAAUGUGUUGACACCUAAAUUUUGACAACCCGUUUAGUCAUUUAUCGCAUUAAAAAAUUAGGGGUUAAUUUUAUCCCUGAAAAAAUAGUUAAUUGCAUAGCAUAUAGUUUUAUGUACAUUUAUUUUUAAUUUGCAUUUACGGUGGGCUGGUGACGGAUGGAUUUGAUUUGAUAGUUCAGAACUUUAAUUUGAUGAGUUGGGCUAAGCCCACGAAGAGAGCAAAUUGGCCCAAGCCCGUUGUUCUCUAAUGACCGACAAUUGACUUAUUUGAUAUUUCUGGAAAAGAUUCGUAAUAUCCUUCCAAUAUUUGGUAAACAUUUCAUAUAUUUAUGUGAUAUAUACAUUGAGUGAUAUAUUUUGCGGAAGAUUGGAAGAUUUUAGAGGAAAUAUCAAAAUAAUCAAAUAGGAAUAUUGCAUUUGGAGGAUAUAUUGAACAAUAUAUUUUUUGCCUCAAAAUGAGAGAAAUUGCUUGGUCAUUAGAGAUUUCGUGCAAAAUUUUUCUUUCCGUGAUGAGAUCGUACUAUAAAAUACCGCUUGGUCAAGGAAAGAAGGAGGGAGAAGUACACUAUCAGUGCUAUAAGUUAUGUACAGCACUCACUUUGGUGCAAAAAGUUUCCGUUGGAUCACUUAAGUGCCAAAUCAAAGGAAAAAUGAUCACUUUGGUGUCACUAGUGAGAAAUUUCAGUCAAAAUGAUUACGUGGCUUUUAUAAUUAAAAAAAAUCAAUAAACCCUUUAAACAACAUCGUUUUCCGUUAUACUUAAGAAAACGACGUCGUUUUGCCGUCACAUGUGGAUGGCUUAGGAAAAACAAUGCCGCAUAGCUCAUUUGGGAUUGAAAUUAGGGUUUUUUUUUUUGUUCAUCCUCGCCGACCUAGCUUGCUCAGCCACUGUCGCUUGGCCACCGUGCUUGGCCACCGUCGCUCGGCCACUAUGCUCGGCCACCGUCGCUCGGCCACCGUGCUUGGCCACCGUGCUCGGCCACCGUGCUUGACCAUCGUCGCUUGGCCAUCAUCGCUCGGCCACCAUUGCUCGGCCAAGAAGUGAUGGGAAAAUAGGAGGCCACCGUCGGAGGAGAAGGAGGAAGAAGGGGGGUUGAAGGUGCAAAGAGAGAGAGAAGAUGAGGAGUGGGCCACCGUCAGCCAAGAAGGAGACCACAGAUGGAGAUGGUGGAUUGGACUCUGCUUGGAGAGUGGCUGGUGCUGGUGUUGUUCUUCAAGGAAGAAGAUGAUGCCGCCGCCAUGGCUUCUCUCUCUCUCUCUCUCUCUCGAUUUGGGGAUUUAGAGUUUUGACUUGGGGUUUAAGACGCCAAACGACGUCGUUUGGUGGUUUACAUGCUAACUGUACUCUCCGGCGAGCCACAUCAGCAUGAAAAAUUAGUAAAAAACUGCAAUGUCGGAUUUCCAGUCAACCAGAUCGGCAUUGGCACUGAAAUAAUCGUUUUUCAAAAAUUUUUGCACUUAAGUGAUCUGACGAAAAAUUUUAGCACCAAAGUGAGCGCCGUACACAACUUAUAGCACUGAUAGUAUACUUCUUCCAAAGAAGGAGGAUAACACAUUACGUUGAAUACUUGGCUUCACAAUUGGGGCCACUCAAUAGAAUACACUACCAUUGAUAAAAACACAUCAAGGAAUAUAUACGUGAGAGAGAAGGUUGCCGGAGCCUUCCUACAAUCCAUUGAUCCCCUUGCCGUCCAUCGAUCAUGAUGCCUACUAUUGUGCUGGUGCUGCCUUGUUUGAUGAUAUCCAUCAACGACUUUGCUUGAUAGUCAACACCUCCGUGCAUCGCGUCGAUCCGCUGCACCUCAUCAGCUGAGGCCACGCAAUUGAGACGCUCGGCCACAUGGAGGGGGGCUUCACAAAACAAAGAGAUGGCCACAAUUCUGAGACGAGCAGAGAAUGGAGAGAGAGCGGAUGUUCUACACAUGAAGGAGAAAACGUGAAGAAGGAGACCUGCCCCUGGCCAAUUGAAGAUCCCGUUGCCCACUAAAUCUUCAAAGUCAAAUUCUUUUUGCUACCAUGGAGAUUCACGCCCAUUCUCCAUCAACAUCUCACUUUCAUCUCCUUUCUCUCUCGAGGGAAUUCACGCACAAGUCCUCGAUUGCAUAUAUUUUACUACUGUUUUGCUUCAGCGACGAGUUGAUGUUCAAGAUCUCUACAGGCAUCCCCGACGCAAGCCGCAUCUGUGUGGCCUAUUAGGCCAUCUGCGGAAUCCCCAGCAACGACGAAUACUGGUCUUUCUUUGCAGGUCUUUUGGAACACAAUAGGGAGACACGUUCAAAACAGAAGGUUCAUAAAGCAAGGAGAGCGUCCAGCAAAGUGUGUUCCUUGGGGGGCCAUUGUAUGUGUCCAUCGAAGCUUGAUUAUCACGGCUUAAUUAGGCGAGCAAAGCCAGUCAAAUUUCUCUACCGUCUGGACCUCGAGGAGGGUACACAUAGCAAGGGAAUCUCUACCGAAUCAUUAUCCUCCACUAUAAAUCUUGGUGGAUAUAUAUAAAAAGAAAACAAAGAAAGGUUUACACCUGCUCCUAAUCAGCUUCGCAAGUUCCUAGUGUUGCAAGCAUUCCGAGAAGUCUCUGUGGUAAAGCUGGGAGUUAGCUGUGCACCUCCCCACCGCUUCGUGAGCCAUCACCUGUCGCAAAUCAUCGAGGCAUCACCGUGGGUCCACCAUCUCGGCUGCUGUCCGAGCCGAACCACCGUUUGUAGCGAAUUGCCACCACGAUCCACCACUAGUCGCCAUCAACCACCAUAGCAAGCUGUCCUUGUGCCAUCAUGUCGAGCCUCUAUCAUGAUUCACGAGCCGCCGUUCAAAGACCAAAUUUGGAAGCAAUAUUUGGGACAGGUAAAAAUUUUGUCUACUUUAAUUUCCAAAAAUUUUGUUUCCUUAUUGGAUAUAUUCAUUGGUGCACAUGAUGGAAAUUCCUGAUAUGUCAUGUUAUUGGCAACUCGAGUAGCCUUCUGAAUUAGGAAAUAUUCUUAAUUCCACAACAUGUAUAUGAUUGAUAGUCCGAUUUCAUGCUCGAAAUACGACUCACAAUCGCACAGAAAAAUCACCAAUCCGAUCUCACGCUUGAGAUACGAUUUGUGAUUUUGUCUAAAAUUGGCCAAUCCGAUCUCAUGUGCGAGAUACGAUUCGUCAAUUUAUUUCCAAAAUUAAAUGGACAUGGAUGAUAUUUUGCUGGAUUUGUUGCCGUGAUGUUCUUGAUGCCUUUAUUUGUUUGCUCCCGUAAACAAAAAAAAAUAAAAAUAAAAAAUAAAAACAUUUGAGUUAGAUUAGAUGCAUGUUAGGAUGUUACUUGUUUUAGGGUAAUUUUUUUUAUGUCUAGAAUAAGAAAUUUAUUUAUUUCGAAUUUUUAAAAAUAAAAAAAUAACAAAAACAUAAAUUUAGGAUGUUAAAUUUUCCUUUCAUUAAUUUAAAUUGCAUGUUUAAUUAUGUGGCACUUCUAAAUUUUGAAUUUUAUUAUAAAAAAAAAAAUCACCAUACAUAUGUCAUGUAGAAUUAUGGCAUUAUUUGCACGUCAUUGCAUAUUAGGAUAAAAUUGCAUAUUCCAUCUUGAGUUUAGAUUAUUAUUUUUUAGAUAGCCUGCAUCUUAGGUUAGAGAUUGCUAAGUCAAGAUAAUAUAUUAGUUUAAAUUAGGGUUUAGCCUAACAUAAUCCUUAAUAUAAGUUGGAUAGAAUCUUAAUCUAGCUAGAUAAUUUUCACAUUCUUCUAAUUUCGAAUUUCAUGAAAAAUACAAAAAAAUGUCUUAGGAUAAAUUAGGGGAUGUCACGCCCCGAACUUCGAGCGCGCCAACAUCCCACCAUGGUCAUGCCAAUGCGACAUUCCCAGGUAGUGUCGCCGACCCCAUUCAUUUAUUAAUGCGCAAGCGGAACGUAUUAUAAAACCCCUGACAAUAAAAUACGGGAUAGAAAAGCAUGAAGCAAAACCACAAAAUAACACUUCCAUAAUUCAACAGAAUUACAAACAGAGGUCUACGGCCAAAAGUCUACAAAAGACCGGCUCUUAAAAAGGAAUUUUCCUACGACCUACAAGUCGGACACGUUCUCCAAUCUUAUGACUUCACCUCUGGUCAACUCCUCAAGGCCAACCAAAGCUAUAUGGUCGCUCCGUCCACCAGGGACCUGAAAUUUUUAAUCCCACAACCGGGAUGAGACGAUGUCUCAGCAAGUUCAACCCCCUAAACCCCUAUUAGAAAGAAAAUACGCCCAAGGGUGGCCUAGCCACAUCACACAGAGAACUUACCUCGCCUCGAUUCCUUCCUGCAGGUUAGCACAAUUUGUAUCACACAAUCUCAGGUAGUAAUAAUAAUUCAAACAAUUGGAACGCCAUCACUUUCAUAUAAAUCACGAUCGCACUUAGCACGCAUUCCAAUUAUUAUUCACUGCCACACAAGGGCAUAGCCUACUCGCGGAUCGGCUAUCUACUGACAUUACGGCAUUUCUAGAAGGAUAAAUGUCCAGUCGGUCUCGCCACUACUGCGACCAAGCCACGUCAUUCUCUUGACGGCAUUUCUAGAAGAAUAAAGGUCCAGUCGGUCUCGCCACUACUGCGACCCAGCCACGUCAUUCUCUUGACGGCAUUUCUAGAAGAAUAAAGGUCCAGUCGGUCUCGCCACUACUGCGACCAAGCCACGUCAUUCUCUUGACGGCAUUUCUAGCAGAAUAAGGAUCCAGUCGGUCUAGCCACUACUGCGACCCGAGCCUUUCAACUAGCACACGACAAUUCGAUACCGAUCCCUGGAUACUUUACAUUUCACUCACAUAAUCCAAUUACGAUAUUAACCAUUAACAAUCCAAUUUCAAUGCCAAACUCGACACUUGGGAUUUUCUAAAUAAAAUCCAUACUUUUCACAAUCCACACUCAAUUUAUAAUAUCCAAUCAUCAAUUUCAAAAUCUGACUACACAGCAGCAAUCGGCACGAAAUUCUGAGAAUUUAGGGUCCUAACAAAAUUUUCGGAAUUUAAUAAUUAAUUAAAUUUAUUCCGAAAAUAAUUAAAUAAUAAUAUCUUAAUAAUUUCGAAUAAUAUAAUAUUAUUUAAAUUAUUAAAAAAUUUCAAAAAGAUUUAAAUAAAUCAAAAGUAAAUUCCUUUAUGUCACAUCACAAUUUAUAUUAAUAUAACCACUCACUUAACCUUAAAUUAAACACAAUUUAAGUUAAUCAAACACCUUAAUAUAAUCUACACUUAAAUAAAUUAAACUAACCACCUAAUAACACUUAACAUAAACUAAGCACCCAUAAAGCAUCAUUAACCCUCUAAUCAAGGUUUAGUGAGUUAAACUCACCGGAUUAGCGAGCCGAGCGGACCAAAACGACGAGGACGACACGAGGAUCGACUUUCCUCAAGGCAGGCCGAGCAUCCAAGCUCGGGAAGACGGCCAAAACGGGCCAAAUAGGUGCUGCCAUACCCAUUUUCUGCAACUGCUGUCCAUUGCGGUUUGAGGCCGAGGAAGGGUAGAUCCAGCGCUGGUUCGGGCGGAGGAACGGCGGAGGAGCUGAACCGGACUUAGGCGAGGCUUCACGGUGGCCGGAGGUGGGCUAGACGGCUCCGGCGGAGCUCCACCAGAUCUGAAAUGGCUGCUGGAACUUGGCUGAAGCAGGGACAACGGCAGUAAGAGGCGGAGACGUGCGAGCGGUGCGGGGCAGACGUGCGGCAACGGCGACGGCGACGACGGCGUGCGGGCAGCGACGGCGACGACGGCGUGCGGGCAGCGACGGCGACGAGCGGCCGAGCAAGUGGCAAAGGGGCGUGCGGCGUGCGGCUGGCGCGGCGAGGCGGUGUCGAGCGGGACGACGAGGCGAGGCGCGCGCGCGGGCGCGGGGCGUCGCACAGUCGCGAGGCGGCGACGGCACCGGCGGCAACGAGCAACGGAGGGCGACGUCGGGGCUGGCGAGCUGCUGGUCCGGCCGAAUUCCUCUCUCUCUCUCCUCCCUAUUCCCAAGAAGCCAAAGGUUGAAGAUGAUGUUGAUAGGUGAGAGGGAAAAACCCCACUUUAUGAAGGCCAAUGGGCUCUUGUCACUUGUCAACACCCCAUUUGCUAGGCUUCAAUCAGCAUGACAUCACCCGCAUGAUGUCAUCUUCUACUAUCUCCUCUCCCACAACAUUCUUCAAUGGGUGCAAUUUCAUUUUCCGCCGGGGCAUAAAAUCUUGUAUUUUAAAUUCUUCAAUUCCAAUCAAUUCUCUUCCAAUUGAGUCCAAUUAAAAUCCAUAAAAUUAAUCCAUGAUCCUCAUAAGAUAUGUGACACCCCAGACUUCUAAUUUCUGAAUUCGAUCUCAAUUCCACGGUUAAUUUCACUUUGACACGAUACUAGCGCGGCCCAACCUACCGGGUAGCUUUUAGAAAUUUUUCCUGCAUUUGACCUGUGGUUGAUCAUCUCAAGCCACAAUGUACAUCUUUGAAACAUUGGCGACUUUCGGUUGUCGGGGUAAUCUCAAGAUUUCAAAUACGAAUAUAGAGUACCCAAUCGAUAGAAAAGUCAGCCCAGUGCCGAUCAACAAGAAUUGUGCGAUCUGGUGGAAUUACCCACACCUGAUCACAUGCCUUUGUCGAGUCGUCCUAUCUCCGAUCUCUAAUCGAUUUUUAAUUGUGCCGUAAUGACCCUUGCAGAUUAGCUCGGUCGAAAGGUCGCUUCCUAAUCAAAUUCUCGAGUCUGAUGCAUUAGAAACUCUUAACAGCUUCACCCGAUAGACUAGUUUUCACAUGAGUGGCCGACUCAAGGAAAAGAACUAUAUGCGUGCCAACGAAAUGCCCGUCUCAAUUUAUUGAAAACAGAAUUGGAAAAUCGAGAUGUCACAAAUUACUUUCAAUCUCUAGGAUAGGUUGCAUGCUUUUUAAGAAAAUAGAAAAUAUCAUGUGCAUGUCAUGUAGAAUUAGGUUCAUGAAAUGCAUGUUACUUAGUGAUUGCGGUUAGGUCCAUUUAGCUAGAAAUUGCAUGUCAUUAGGUUAAAUUGCACUGCAUUGCAUGACUUUCAUUAAUUAAGUGGAAAAAAAAAAAGAAAUUGCGUGUUAAUUAGAAAUCAUAUCUAGGACUGUUGAUGUGAAUUCUAAUUUAACAUUGCAGAUGCUUUCGUUGCUAUGAGAUAAGUCCUGCAAUUUAUUCAUUGCUUUUUUUGGAUGUUAAAUUAGUGGUUUGCGCACUCAUAUGAUUACCUCACAUGUUAGGAAAUAUAUUUAAAAUCAAUUCAAGUUGCCUGCAAAACAUUUUUUUAAAAAUAAAAGAGAAAGAUACUGAAAGGACGUUAAAGAAAUCUAGUGUAACCAAGCCCCCGAACUCAUAAUCUCUGAUUUGUAGGAGUAAAUUCUAAUUGACCCACCAAAAAUAGAUUAGUGGCGAUUCCUAAUUGAAAAUCAAUUACAUGUUAAAAAUUUGAACCUAAGUCGCGAAUUGGUAUGGGCUUGGGAGAGUCCGAGCUAAGUUAGACUUAGUAGUCCAUUAGCCUAAUUUUAGGUGGUGCACCCGAAAUUUAAGGUCACGACAGAAUGUCAUAAAUGGAGACCAAUUUAGUCAACCAAUUCCAAAGUAGGACGUAGAUGGUGGGAAAAGUGGCCUCCGUGAUAUUAUAAAUCGCUUGCUAUAUGAGAUUGUUGGUAUCAAAUCAUUGUAAUAAUUUGUUAAUUUCAUGCAUAUGGUCAUGAUAUAUUUAAAUGAUUACAAUGGUUUGAUACUAGUAAUCUCAUACAACACACAACUUAUUUUUUCGUGGGAGCCGCUUAAAUCCUAUCGACGACGUCCUAUUUUUGAAUUAAUUGAUUAAAUUGAUUUCCAUAUAAGAUAUCCUAUGUAUGGAAUUUUUAGAUUUUCCUUCUUUUACUAUUAAAUGUUAUCCAACUUCAUUAGUAUUUCUUUACUAAUUUUUUUUUCGAGAGGAUCACAGUAAUGUCUCGAAAUUUCUUAUGUAGAACAUGGUAUAGUGGUAAUCUCACAAUAUAGGCUAAUUAUUAUGUUGUGGAGCCGCUUGAAGCCCACCAUGUACGUUCAAAUUUGGGAUUGGUCGACUAAAUUGGUUUUCAUUUACAACAUCCUAGAUAUGAAAUUUUGAGACUUUCCCUUUUUUAAAAAUUUAAUGUUAUCCAACUUAUUUGGUAUUUCUUUACAAAUUUUUCAUGGUGAUCAUAGUAGAAGUUUUGAAAUUUCUUACAUAGAAUGUCACAAUUCCAAAGUAUGACGUAAAUGGUGGGGCAAGCGGCUCCCAUGACAGUAUAAAUUGUCUACUAUAUGAGAUUGUUGAUAUUAAAUCAUUGUAAUAAUUUGUUAAUUUCAUGCAUUUGCUCAUGAUAUAUUUAAAUGAUUACAAUGGAUAGAUAUCAAUAAUCUCAUAAAGCUUGCAAUUUAUUUUGUCAUAAGAGUCGCUUAAACCCCACCAUCUAUGUCCUACUUUUGGAUUGGUGGACUAAGUUGAUUUCCAUUCAUGACAUCGUAUAUAAGAACGUAUGAGAUUUUCCUUUUUCAAAUAUUAAAUGUUAUCCAGCCAAAAAGAAUUAAAUGUUUUCCCACUUGAUUGGCAUUUCUUUGCUAAAUGUUUUCAAGAUGAGAUGCGGUAGAAGAUUUGAAUUUUCUUACAUAGAAUGUCAUAAUUGUAAAUCAAAUUGGUCAACCAAUCCCAAAGUAGGACGUAGACGGUGGAGUUCAAAUAAAUUGUUUGCUUUGGAAACGAUGCUAGACCUUCUUGAUGUAGGCUUUCUAGGUACAAUCCUUAGCUUCUUCGUUUAAGCGAAUUUUCACUUCUAGAAUCUCCUUAGUUGGACCCAAAUCUUUCUGUCCCGAAUUCACCAGUCGACUAUGCCAUAAUAUCAAUCUUAAGAUAUAUUCUUGGUACUUAUCAACUCAAAGAAGCGAUUAUACAAAGGAAUUACGAGGGAUAUUUAUCAAAUACAUAUACAUACUUGUCAAAUAGAAUUAUCAGGGAAUUUUAUCAAGUGCAUGCAAAUCUUAUCCUUACUUCUUGAGUAGUCACCGCAUAAUACAAAGGAAUUACCAGGCACGAUAGUUACUACAGCAUUAUUGUUGAUUGUAAAGCUUUUCUCUUUCAUUGGAAACCCACAACCUAUAACAAUUUCUCAACCAACGAAAACGUCGAUGCUAUUGAAAAUUAGAAAGGGACCAAACACAUAAGCGUUUCUUACAAAAAGGAAAUUCCAACUUUCGCUCCCGCAAUAAUUUUCGCCCCAACUUUUGAACGUCACUUAAAAGGGCGCCAAUUUUAACUUGUGAGAUCAUUUUGGCCAUAAUAGAAUUACCGUUAAAAUGUGUGUAUAUGACAUCUAAGAUGGCUCACGGAUGCUAACAUUACUAACAAGAAGUGCCUUGUCAGCAGACAUGCUUCCAUAUAUAAUCAACACUCAUUUCUAAACUCGCAUUAUGGCUUCAAAUCAAAUUAAGAAGGGUUUAUGCAAAUUGGGCUAGAGAUUUGGUAAAAAAUCGGAGCAUAUUCACUAAAUUUUCGCAAAUUUCACCCUUUCAAUAUGAUUCAGUGAAGAACCGUCUCCACCCCCCUCCCCCACGAAACACACACACAUGAAACUCGAUUAAUUAGCUCAAAAACAACAUCGUUCUACUUUUUUAGUGGGAACAAUGUUGUUUAAUGCCACUCCAAAUUAUCUUCGAUUCAGAUUGGAAACAAUUUAUUAUCAUUACAUGGAGUUUGCUCACAUGGCAAUCACAUUUUACCUUUCUAGGGGUGAAAUUCAUCCCUCGGGUAAAAGUUGGUGUCCUUACAUGCAACAUUUGUAAGUAUUAAAAAAUGUUCAUCCCAAAUACCAUGCCACAUCUAAUUAUUGGCCUUUGGAAUAAAUGUUUUUGAAAUAUAUGAAAUUCAAGCGAUUGAUUAAAGGUCAUUGCACUCAAGUGAACAUUUAUUUUUUUAAAGUCAUGACCGUCGAGUAAUCAAGAAAAAAGUUAAUAUUCAAGUGAGUGUCUUACGAAAAUUAGAAUUAAAAUUACUCGGCGAUUGAAAACUAUUGUUCUUUUAAUAAAAAUCCUAAACACUUGAAGAGGUAGAAAAAGAGGGCAGCGGAAGAUCUAUCUCACAAGCCUCUCGCUACUUUCAAACUACAGUUGACGAUGCACGCAGCAUAUAUUACAUACCCACUGACCACUAAACUGAGAGCCAAAAAAGAUAGCUCAUAUCAUUUGGAACGGGCCCACUUUUUGUCCUUGAGCAACUCAACCACGCGCCUCAUGGUGGGCCUGCUGACCGGCAACGCGGAAGUGCAAGAGAGAGCUAUGUUCAAGACCUUCUCAAUCUCUUCAUAGUCGCUCGAGGACGGGCUCAACCUCGGAUCCAUGAGCUGUGCCAGAUCGCCGGAGCACCACCCGGGCUCGCCAUCACGAUUCCCAUCCCCUUCCGCCUCGGGAGCCGACAAUGCGACCUCAAUGACCCACUCCACAAUGUGCUUGUUCUCGCCAAACGAAGGGUCAUUCGGCCUUUUGCCGGUGAUCAACUCUAGAAGCAACACGCCAAAACUAUAGACGUCGCUCUUCUCGUUUACUUUCAUAGUAUAUGCAUACUCUGCGAAAACCGAGAAAAAAGAAUAAUAAUCAAUUUAAGAGCCACCAUUAAACUACUCUUGCAAGUCAAAUAAGUUCGAGAACAUUAUUGCUGUAUACAGAAUUCAGAAAAUGAGCAGCACUUGCCAAUAUUAAAUGACUAAAAAAUACCAAAUCCAUUUAAGAACUCUCUGUUCAGAUUGGGUUGACUUUAGUCAAAGAUGAGUGAAGGCAUGGGCUAAAAAGGCCAAAACAUACAACUCACAAGCACUUUCCCAUGGACCCCACAGUAAAAUUAAUAUUAUCGGGUUGAACAUGGGGCCCACUAGUCUUCUAUUCCAGUGGAAGUGAACACUAGCAACCAAAGAGAGACCACAUAAUCAAACAGACAAUAAUGAAAACGAAAGGAUUGGGAUAGGCAAUACGCACCUGGCGCGAUGUAGCCACAGGAUCCGGCCACCUUCGACAUCUCCCCCGUCGCCGCCGCCUCCCGUUGCAACAUCUUCGCCAACCCGAAGUCGGCGACCCGCGGCGUGAAGUCCUCGUCCAAUAGGAUGUUGUUGCUCUUCACGUCCCGGUGCACGAUGGCGGGCACGCAGUCGUGGUGCAGGUAGGCCAGGCCCUUAGCCGCGCCCACUGCUAUGGCGAACCGCUGGGGCCAGUCGAGGAAUUCUCCGCUCUUGGGCCCGUGCAGCACGUCGCCCAGGCUCCCGUUCUCCAUGUACUCGUAGACUAAAAGGCUGCUCUCCUCGGCCGAGCACGUGAACAGCAACUUUACUAUAUUGCCGUGGCGGACGUGACCCAGAGUCUCCACCUCCGAUUUGAACAUGGACUCGAUGUCCGGGGCCUGGGUCUUCGCCCAGAGCUUCUUCACCGCCACCAUCUGACCCGACUUGAGCCUAAUCCGGUAGACCUCGCCCGACCCUCCGGACCCGAUCUUGUUCUCCUCUAUUAACUGAUCGACUAUCUCAUUGCUAAACAUGACCCGCUGGAACGUGGUUAUUUUCCACAACCGUCUCGAUUUGCCUCCGAACCAAUGUAGCUUCGUCCUGAGGAACCAAACCAGGGACGCGAAAAGGAGCAAAACGCAUACGGCUAGAGCUAUGAGCACGUAGAAAGCGACGGGCCGGGCUCUUGUGCACUUCGGGAACGGCUUCAGAUCCGAGCUGCACAGGCUUGGGUUGCCCAUUAAGCCCGAAACAAAGAGCUCGCGAUCGAAGCACGGCGGUAUCUCGCCGUAGAGCUUAUUGUGGGAUAUGUUGAACUUAUUAAGCGUCAGUUUGGCCAGCUCCCUUGGGAUCUCGCCGGAGAGCGAGUUCCCUGAGAGGUCCAAGUACCUCAGCACCGGCAAGUCGCCUAAUUGAGCCGGUAUGCUCCCAGUGAGCCGGUUGUUCGAAAGGUUCAACUCCGUCAAAUCGGCCCAUGGCCCUACUGAACUCGGAAUCGGGCCGGUCAGCAAAUUGCCUUGCAUCUUG
rnacentral:lncRNA from 1 species